GCAACUGUAGCUUAGUUGGAUAGAGCGUUCGGCUACGAACCGGAAGGUCGGGGGUUCGAAUCCCUCCAGUUGCACCA
rnacentral:tRNA from 1 species